UGAAAGUGAAGUCGCUCAGUCGUGUCCAACUCUUUGCAACCCCAUGGACUGUAGUCUACCAGGCUCCUCCAUCCACGGGAUUUUCCAGCCUCUUCUUCAGGUUACUCCCCUUGACCAGAAUGCUCUUUCCCCUCUUCGAUUCCUGAUAAACUUCCAUCAUCCUGUGAAAUGCUGCACAAGCAUCACCUUCUCCAUGUGAAACCUUCCUUGCCUGCUCUGUGGACCUCCUGGCAAGUCUCUGGAACACUCUUCUAUGUUAGAAUGCCCUCCAGCGGACAGACGUCUAAGAGGCAGCGUCAUUCCUGACGAGAACAGGAGCCCCUCACCGCCCCCUGGGCUCCCAACAUCGGGGGAGCGCUGAGCCAAGACUCUAGGUCCUUUGUGCCCUGCCAACUCCGGGAGGCCGGACGGAGGACAGGCUGGCUGGCUCCCCAGACUCUGCAGCCUCUGGACAUGGUGCUUCGAGGGUGAGGGGCUGGGAUGGGUCUUCUGGUUGCUAUUUUCUUCUACUUCUCCCCAAAUCCCCCCAUUCCUUCCAGGUGCUAGGAAGUCCUUCGGUUGCCACCAGAAAGCAGGCAUGACUUUUUUCCUUUGGGAGGAGUCCCUGCAGAAGACUUUUGUCACACUGCCACCCGGAAGACACAGCUGGGGCUUUCAGCCUCCUUCCCCUAGGAGCAUCAGGCUCUGGUUCUAGGGCCCAUCUCCCUUCUAGCUUCUGGGUGGAGGCCUCCCCUAGGGGAAGGAAUGGUCAGGGUUCCCAGGCCAG
ensembl:lncRNA